UGUUCCGUGGAUUAGUUGGUAAAAGCGCCGGGCUUCCAAAUACGGAGUUGUGGGUUCAAAUCCUACCAGAGCGC
rnacentral:tRNA from 1 species